ACUCUCCUACGGGACGCAGCAGUGGGGAAUAUUGGGCAAUGGGCGCAAGCCUGACCCAGCAACGCCGCGUGAAGGAAGAAGGCUUUCGGGUUGUAAACUUCUUUUGUCAGGGACGAAGCAAGUGACGGUACCUGACGAAUAAGCCACGGCUAACUACGUGCCAGCAGCCGCGGUAAUACGUAGGUGGCAAGCGUUAUCCGGAUUUACUGGGUGUACAGGGCGUGUAGGCGGGGAAGGAAGUCAGCUG
rnacentral:rRNA from 1 species